CUGCAACACCCUGAUCUAUACUUCUACUUAUUUCUUCAUAAAACACAAUCAAGUUAGUUUGACAUGACCUGUGCUUCAUAAAACUGCUGAUUUUUGCUGAUAACCAUGUUCUUCUCAAGGAAUUCUUGAAUAUUAUCCCUUAAUAACCUUUCAAAUAUUUUUCCAGCCCCAGAAGUUAAGCUUACAGGUCUAUAAUUUCCAGGCAAUGAUUUUGAACCCUUUUUGAAUAUAGGAACCACAUCUGCCUUCCUCCAAUCCUCCGGAACACUUCAUGAAAGAAAAGAAUCUUGAAAAAUUAAAAAGAGGAGGUUCACUUAUUUCUACACUUAGUUCCUUAAGUACUCAUGGAUGGAUACCGUCAGGCCCUGGAGCUUUGCUUAUAUUAACUUUCUUUAGUUGCUGCAGCACCUUGUCUUGAGUUAACCAAUUUGAACAUCUAUUGCCAUGGGUUCUUCCUUAAUAUAUAUAUACGGAGGAGAAAUAGUUAUUUAAAAU